rnacentral:rRNA from 1 species
CCUACGGGUGGCAGCAGUGGGGAAUAUUGCACAAUGGGGGAAACCCUGAUGCAGCGACGCCGCGUGAGUGAAGAAGUAAUUCGUUAUGUAAAGCUCUCUCAGCCGGGGAGAAAAUGACGGUACCUGAGUAAGAAGCCCCGGCUAACUACGUGCCCGCAGCCGCAGUAAUCCGUAGGGGGCAAGCGUUAUCCGGAUUUACUGGGUGUAACGGGAGCGUAGACGGCAGUGCAAGUCUGGAGUGAAAGGCGGGGGCUCAACCCCCGGACUGCUCUGGAAACUGUACGGCUGGAGUGCAGGAGAGGUAAGUGGAAUUCCGAGUGUAGCGGUGAAAUGCGUAGAUAUUAGGAGGAACACCAGUGGCGAAGGCGGCUUACUGGACUGUAACUGACGUUGAGGCUCGAAAGCGUGGGGAGCAAACAGGAUUAGAUACCCGUGUAGUC